rnacentral:lncRNA from 1 species
UUUAAAUAUUAAACCCAAAAUAUUUGCCAGAUUUUAUAUGUGAUUGAUAAAAAAUAAUGCUGUAAGUACCGUACAUAUUAUUAAAAAUCAGUACAUUGUAUUAAGAGAUACUUUGCUCGUGAAAAGUCAUAUUGCCUUUAACUGAAAGAGACAUGAAUUAUUGCAAGAAAGGAAGAUUAGGACACUGAUUCUUGAUUGGACAUCUGCUUACAUAUCUGACUUGAAGAUUUGUGCUGUUCUCCUAUUUAAGAAGAAAAAUUGAAUCAAAAAGCAAUUGAAUAGAAUGUAUAUUCUGCAGUUGUUGGGUAGAAUGUUCUGUAAAUAUCUGUUAAGUCUGAAUACCUUGUGUUUUUUUUCAUUGUGUUAUAAUUUUAUAGGUCCUGUGAGAUUUACCCUUUAAGGAGAUUUUAUUUUGGUAUAUUUUGAGGAUUGUGCUAAGAGGAAAGUUCAUAGCAUUAAAUGUUUACAUCAAAAAGUCUGAAAGAGCUCAAAUAGACAAUCUAAGGACACAUUUCAAGGAGCUACAGAAACAAGAACAAACCAAACCCAGCAGAAGAAAAGAAAUAACAAAGAUCAGAGCAGAACUAAAUGAAAUUAAAACAGUACAACAGAUAAAUGAAACAAAAAGCUGAUUCUUUGAAAAGAUAAAAAAUUGAUAGACCAUU